rnacentral:antisense_RNA from 1 species
UGUAGGAGCUGCCGAAGGCUGCGAUCUUUUGAUCUUGAUUGUAAAAAACAAAAUCAAAAGAUCGCAGCCUUCGGCAGCUCCUACA